CUCUUAUAGUUGCCAAUGAAAAUGCUCCACAGUGGAAAGGGAGGGGACAGGGCGAUCCCAGGUCCCAGGGGCUCAGGGUUUGCAGCGGUAAAGGGGAGUCCCUGCUUCCCCUGGGGAUAACUCCCUAGGAAAAGUCUAGAUUUCAGCACUGGGAGCCCCGAGGUUGUAUUUCCUGCUUGGUGGGAAUGUCACUCCUGCUAGCUGCCUCUGCCCAGAUCCCAAGGAGAGAGGUCAGCCUUCUCUGAGGCUCUGUGCAGGCCACAGCAACUGUGCAGAGAUAGGCAUCAGUCUGCACCGGGUCAGGAGAGAAGGGAGUCAAGUUUCCCCAGGGGCCGUUUCCCAGGUGAGUCAGGCCUGGGGAAGUAGUUUCAUGAGCACAGGUAGAGUGGUCCUCUCUGCUCCAAACUCCUCUAUAGCUCCUGUUCAGGGAGCGCCCUUUUGGAUUGCACAGCCAUGGGGGCUUAGGAAGGGAUUGAGACUGUGAGCUUAAAUCUCAGUGGUUUUAUUAAUAAUGUGCUCAAGGGCAUGUUAUAUAAUCUCUCUGACCCUCUCCUCCCCACCAAUGGAGGGUGGAGACCAGGGCCUGCCUUUUGGGGAAACGGUGUUCAUUGAACCCAGUCUGCUCAUUGCAAGGCCUGCGAUUCAGGAAGUGGACUGGAGGUGGAGGCCUUAGCCUGUUCUGUGUCCAGCCAGCCCGUGCCAUGCCGCUCUUUCCGGCCAGUGACCUUGGUUCAUUCUCCUGGAUGAAAAGCACCUGUGGGAGCCCUCCCCGUUCUUGGAAGGAAGCUGCUGUUUCUCAAAUAGUCCAGACAGAUGCUUCUUGGACACUGUCUUGGUACUGAGCAAGACCAGCUCUCUCUUCCUGACGAUCAGAGAAGCGACGGUAUUAUAUGUCUCCGUAUGAUGGACAGCCUUAUGGGCCUCAGCUCCCACAUGGACCUACCGCAGAGUGAGCGAUAUAGGCUCAAAGAACAGCAGGCAGAAGAUGGGACUCCAAGCAACCAGGUAUCUUGGCUGGCACAUGGCUUCUGUUGUGGUUCAAUCUGAAGAGUUGGAAUGGAGAAGGAGCCAUCCACCCUCAGCGGGACCCUUUCUUUGGGGGACCUCCAGUCAAAGCUUCCCUGCAACUGUGUCGGCUGCUGACUUGGGUUCAAGGCUGAGUAUUGCCUGGCAGGCUCGGCAAGCCUCACCCUGCUUCCAUCAACACCCUGGGGCUCCCAGCCCCUCGAGUGGAGAAGCUUCGUGUCUGCAGGACGUUGGAAGACGAGGCUGAUCCUGAUGGAUUGUGUUGAGCUCUCAGUGGAUGUGUGAAGGAGUUUAUCCACAAGUCCCUCUUGCUGUGAGCUCUUUUUACAGACACGCUACAGUAACGAGCAGAACUACUCUAUUUAAAUAUGCAUGGAUGUGGAAGAAGGCCAAUUCCUUGCUCAGACAUACCAGCCCUGGCCAAGAUCCAGAACUGCAAGAUCG